AUGGGCACCUUAGCCGCGGCGAUUCCCGUGACCGCCGGGGCGACGGCGACGGGUAUAAGCCACGCCGGCUGCCGACGACGCCGCCGCGGCUCCGUCGCCGUGCGCUGCUCCUCCGCGGCCGACGAGCGGCAGGCCCUCUUCAGCCGCAUCGCCCCCGUCUACGACCAUCUCAACGACGUGCUCAGCCUGGGGCAGCACCGGACGUGGAAGCGCAUCUGCGUCUCUUGGGCGAAGAGAGGGGAUCGGGUUCUUGAUCUCUGUUGCGGGAGCGGGGAUUUGGCGUUCCUUCUGUUUCAGAAGGUCGGCCUAGACGGAGAGGUGAUGGGUGUCGAUUUCUCAGGGAAGCAGCUGCAAACUGCUGCUAGCCGUCAGGAUCAACGCUGGAAGGCUUGCUACAAGAACAUCAAAUGGAUCGAGGGCGAUGCACUUGAUUUACCUUUCACGGACCGUUACUUUGAUGCUGUUACAGUUGGUUAUGGAUUGCGCAAUGUGGUUGACAGACCCAAAGCAAUGCAAGAGAUCCUUAGAGUCCUAAAACCAGGAUCACGAGCAUCUGUUCUAGAUUUUAACAAGAGCUCCUCAAUUUUCACGGCAUCAUUACAAAGUUGGGCGAUCGAUAAUGUGGUCGUUCCUCUGGCUAGUAGCUAUGGACUUACUGAAGAGUACAAGUACUUGAAAAGUUCGAUAUCACAGUAUCUUACAGGAGAGGAGUUGGAGAAGUUAGCCAAAGAAGCAGGGUUUUCCUCAGCCAAGCACUAUGAACUUGGUGGAGGGCUCAUGGGAAACCUAGUAGCAACUCGCUGA
rnacentral:rRNA from 1 species